AUGGACAUCAUAGCAGUUUUCCAUGCAUUUUAUCAGCUCGCCGGAGGCGACUUUGCAGCCCCGAACCGUGCUAUGAUCGUCCUACUGCCAAAAAAGGACGGUGCAACCAAACUGUCAGACUUCCGCCUAAUUAGCCUAAUUCAUUCGGUGGCCAAGCUAAUCGCCAAAGUCCUCUCGAUCAGGCUAAUGGGUGUGCUAGAUCAACUCAUCUCCCUGGCCGCCCAGACUGGUUUCCAGAAGAAGAAGGGCAUACAUGACAGCUUCCUGUAA
rnacentral:rRNA from 1 species